rnacentral:rRNA from 1 species
UCAAGCUAUAAAGAGCGUAGGGAGAAUGACUUGGCAUCAGGAGCCGAAGAAGGACGUGACAAGCUGCGAAAAGCUGCGGUUAGGAGCAAAUAUCCAUAGACCCGCAGAUAUCCGAAUGGGGAAACCCGGUACGGCAAUACCGUAUCACUGCAUGGUAAAUACAUAGCCAUGUGGAGGAAACCCUCUGAACUGAAACAUCUAAGUAGGAGGAGGAAGAGAAAGAAACAUCGAUUUCCUAAGUAGCGGCGAGCGAAAGGGAAAGAGGCCAAACCAGAGAUAGCAAUAUCUUUGGGGUUGCGGACUGCAUAAUUGAUUUAACAUCUUUAGCAGAAGUGUAUGGGAAGACACACCAUAGUAGGUAAUAGUCCUGUAAGCGAAAGGGAUGUUAACAUGGCAGUAUCCAGAGUACCACCGGACACGAGGAACCCGGUGGGAAGCCGGGGGGACCACCCCCCAAGCCUAAAUACUACCUGAUGACCGAUAGUGAAAAGUACAGUGAUGGAAAGUUGAAAAGAACCCCGGAAGGGGAGUGAAAAAGAAUCUGAAACCCUAUGUUUACAAGCUGCUAAAGCACUAUAUAUGUGCGAUAGCGUACUUUUUGUAGAACGGUCCGGCGAGUGUAUGUUGCAAGCGAGGUUAAGGUGUUAAGCACUGAAGCCGAAGGGAGACCGAGUGUGAAUAGCGCGUACAGUUUGCAGUAUACGACCCGAAACCGGGUGACCUACCCAUGGUCAGGUUGAAGUGGAAGUAAAAUUCCAUGGAGGACCGAACCCACGUCUGUUGAAAAAGGCGGGGAUGAGCUGUGGUUAGCGGUGAAAUUCCAAUCGAACUCGGAUAUAGCUGGUUCUCAUCGAAAUAGCUUUAGGGCUAGCCUCAGGAUAGUUUAGCGGAGGUAAAGCACUGAAUGGGCUAGGGGGCUUCACGGCUUACCGAACCCUAUCAAACUCUGAAUGCCGCAUAAAUGUUUCCUGGGAGUCAGACUGCGUGAGAUAAGUUUCGUAGUCAAAAGGGAAAGAGCCCAGACCUACAGCUAAGGUCCCUAAAUGAAUUUAAGUGGAAAAGGAUGUGCAGUUGCGUAGACAACUAGGACGUUGGCUUAGAAGCAGCCACUCAUUUAAAGAGUGCGUAAUAGCUCACUAGUCGAGUGAUUGUGCGCCGAAAAUGUAACGGGGCUAAAAUUCAUACCGAAGCUUAGGAAUGAUAGUAAUAUUGUUGGUAGAUGAGCGUUGUGUAAGUCUGCGAAGCUACACCGAAAGGAGUAGUGGAGAUAUCACAAGUGAGAAUGCCGGAAUGAGUAGCGAGAAUUAUGUGAGAAUCAUAAUGGUCGAAAAUCUAAGGUUUCUUGAGGAAGGUUCGUCCGCUCAAGGUAAGCCGGGAGCUAAGGCGAGGCCGAGAGGCGUAGUCGAUGCACAUACGGUAAAGAUUCCGUAGCCACCGAAGUCGUUAAAUACAGGGACACAGGAACAUAGCCCAUCCCCACCGUUGGUUGAGUGGGGCGUAAGGGAGCGAAAAUUAGUAGCGAAGUGGGUGAUUGUACACUGGCGAGAAAAGCUGUAUGAAUUGACAAGGUGCCCGUACCGCAAACCGACACAGGUAGAUGAGGAGAGAAUCCUAAGGCCGGCGGGAGAAGUGUUGUUAAGGAACUCGGCAAAAUGACCCCGUAACUUCGGGAUAAGGGGAGCCUACGCGAGUAGGCCGCAGAGAAUAGUCUCAAGCGACUGUUUAGCAAAAACACAGGUCUAUGCUAAAUCGAAAGAUGAUGUAUAUGGGCUGACGCCUGCCCGGUGCUGGAAGGUUAAGGGGAAGUGUUAGAGCAAUCGAAGCACUGAACUUAAGCCCCAGUAAACGGCGGCCGUAACUAUAACGGUCCUAAGGUAGCGAAAUUCCUUGUCAGGUAAGUUCUGACCCGC